AGAGUUUGAUCCUGGCUCAGGAUGAACGCUAGCGGCAGGCCUAAUACAUGCAAGUCGGACGGGAUUGGGAGCUUGCUUCCAUGAGAGUGGCGCACGGGUGCGUAACACGUAUGUAACCUACCUUUAUCUGGGGGAUAGCCUCUCGAAAGAGAGAUUAACACCGCAUAAAAUCACAGUACGGCAUUGUACAAUGAUCAAAUAUUUAUAGGAUAAAGAUGGGCAUGCGGGACAUUAGCUAGUUGGCGGGGUAAAGGCCCACCAAGGCUACGAUGUCUAGGGGAUCUGAGAGGAUGGCCCCCCACACUGGUACUGAGACACGGACCAGACCCCUACGGGAGGCAGCAGUAAGGAAUAUUGGUCAAUGGAGGCAACUCUGAACCAGCCAUGCCGCGUGCAGGAAGACGGCCUUAUGGGUUGUAAACUGCUUUUAUACCGGAAUAAACCCUUUCACGUGUGAGAGGUUGAAUGUACGGUAGGAAUAAGGAUCGGCUAACUCCGUGCCAGCAGCCGCGGUAAUACGGAGGAUCCAAGCGUUAUCCGGAUUUAUUGGGUUUAAAGGGUGCGUAGCGGCCUGUUAAGUCAGGGUGAAAUUUUCCAGCUCAACUGGAAGCUUGCCUUUGAUACUGACGGGCUUGAAUGCAGCUGAGUAGGCGGAAUGUGACAAGUAGCGGUGAAAUGCAUAGAUAUGUCACAGAACACCAAUUGCGACGCAGCUUACUAAAGUGUGAUUGACGCUGAGCACGAAAGCGUGGGGAUCAAACAGGAUUAGAUACCCUGUAGUCC
rnacentral:rRNA from 1 species